UACGUAGGGUCCGAGCGUUGUCCGGAAUUACUGGGCGUAAAGAGCUCGUAGGCGGUGUGUCGCGUCGGCCGUGAAAACCUGCAGCUUAACUGUGGGCUUGCGGUCGAUACGGGCAUCACUGGAGUUCGGCAGGGGAGACUGGAAUUCCUGGUGUAGCGGUGAAAUGCGCAGAUAUCAGGAGGAACACCGGUGGCGAAGGCGGGUCUCUGGGCCGAUACUGACGUGGAGGAAGCGAAAGCGUGGGGAGCGAACAGG
rnacentral:rRNA from 1 species